GUUAUUGUAGCUUAUUACAAAGCAUGGCACUGAAGUUGCCAAGAUGGAUUGUCACCAUAUCCCAAAAACA
rnacentral:tRNA from 1 species